rnacentral:ncRNA from 1 species
UGUUUAUAAUAUUAUAUACAUAUAAUAUAGUAACACUCCUGACCCAUUGAGGUAGUGACAAAAAUAACAAUACAGGAUUCUUUCCAGUCCUUGUAAUUGGAAUGAAUCCACUUUAAAUUCUUUCAUGAGGAUCCAUUGGAGGGAAAGUCUUGUGCCAGCAGCUGUGGUAAUUCCAGCUCCAAUAGUGUAUAUUAAAGUUGCUGGAGUUUAAAAGCUCCUAGUUAGAUAUUGGGAGUGGGUGGUGGUCCGUCUUGAUGGGAGUCAUGACUCUGGAUGCCCCCUCCAUACUCUUGGCUGAGUGUUCAUCGUAGCCUGAAGCACUUAUUUUGAAAAAUAUUCAAAGCAGGCUGGAGCUGGACUUAACUCUCCAAUUAAACAACAUAAACUGUCUAGUUGGAUUAAAA